CACAGUUAUAUUUUGAGGGGAGAGAGGAGAUAUAAUCUCAGGGCAACAAGCAUGGAAGAAGAAGGAAAACAAGACACAAAAGGAAAGAAAGCAAGUAAAAGUUUACCAUCCUGGAAUGCACCGUGGAAGCUUAUUUCAUUCCUCAAAACUUUCAAAGCUGUUGAUGCCCAGCUGAUAUUUACAGUGGUUGCAUGGUCUGGUGAUUACAAAGAAACAGAGGAAAUGAUGGCUUUAAUAACCUGUGCAUGACAUGAUUGCUCUAAAAGGACAUAAUUUUUGGAGUUGAUUUAUAAAUUGGUAUUCUACAAACACUACUGAAAGAAUCAAAAGAGUGAAGACCAUCUGUAGUCAUAUGGCAGUUCCUUUCUCAGUACCUAAGAAUAGAAUAGGGCACUUCAAUUUGUUGAACAGAAUCAAAUACUUGUUUUAAAAUGUAAUCAAUAUGGGAGAAUCCUUCCUCCUUGGUUGAUGUUGUAUUUACUGGUGAAUCUUUAUAAGCUCAUACACAGGCCACUUUGAUAAUAGUUAAGAAUUCAGCCUUAAGCACUAAAUAAAAAAAAAAAAUUGAAUCUCAACUCUAUCACUUAUUUACUACGUGAAUUUGGGCAGGUUAUUCUGGUAGCCUCUGUUUCUUCAUCUGACCUUUGGGAUUAUAAAAAUCCAUAUAUCCCUAUAUAAAAUUCUAAAAUAUAAUAAAAGAGACAAUAUCAUGAAGUGUAUAGCACAG
rnacentral:lncRNA from 1 species